ACCAUAUCAUGUUCAAAAUACCGCUUCUCAUACGAUCACCGAAGUUAAGCAACGUCGGGUUUGGUCAGUACCUAGAUGGGAGAUCGCUUGAGAAUGCCA